GGGGCUGGAGAAGGCAAAGUGCAGAGGAAGGAGGAGCCACUGCUAGUGGGUACGAGGUUUCUUCUUGGUACAAGGACAGUAUCAUCCCUAGACCUUGGCAAGAGAGACCACUGAGUGAGGCAUCCAUGGAACCCAAGGAAGAGGCCUACGAAGAACCUGCAGUCACCUUCUAGACCAUUCUCCCUCACCAAACUGUCCCCUCCAGAGAGCUGAGGACUGGAUCUUCCCAUGCUGACACCUCCAGUGGGAAAGAAAAUUCUAGAUUCAGCUCUGGGUGUCCAAGUCAUUAUGAAGGCAUAUUUGUCAAGGUGGAAGAAAAGGACAUAUUCUAUUUAGCAGUUUGCAAUGUCCAGCCACCUACUGAUCGUAUGUGAUGGGGGGUGAGGAGGAGAUACUUUGCAUGGCCCCCAGUGACAAAGAAGAGGCCCUUAGCUAUAGCUACUCUUGUAAAGAAGUAAUGCAUGACUCUGAUUUGCGGCUGCAGGAUAAAUCCGAACUAUUUCAGGGAGAUGUCAUGGAGAGCUCAUCUCUCAGCAUCAAAGUUGCCUCUCCUGACUUUUGAAUUUUAAGUGUUCUGUGUGGAAGAAAAAUGGAGACAACAAAUUUCUAUGCAUGGAUUCAAAGAAUCCUCGUAAUAUACAGACUACAUUCUCCCCAGCUUUUUAUCUCUAUAUAUUCUUUUUGUUGAGUUUCAACCACAUAGGGUUGAAAUUCACCUUCCCACAUUACAUUUUUCAUCAAUAGUUGAAGACCUAUGUAUGUAAAUAUCAGGAACUAUCAGAACUCCCUGCAACAGGAAACCUGACCCCCAACUCCCCCGAAAUGCAUCAUGAUAAACAGUCACUUGCCAAAAUAACAAAUCAGCUUCCUGGAACAUGCUUGCUCAAAACCAGGAGAGGAGCUUAGAGACGUCAGCUUGACUUCUGCCUCGUACGCAGGAAGGGUGACCUUCAAAGAUCAAACAUCGUCCCAAAUCUCCCUUCAUCUUGUAGUACUCCUGCUUGUCGUAGCUCCUGUUACCAUCAGAGACAGAAUGUGCUAUAACCUUCUGGAAACUUCUACUAUUUUCCUGCAACCUGACUACCCCUUAGGUGAGGGAGUCCAGAAUGCUGGCUUGAAAUGGGAGAGAGAAAGAACUGCCACAUAAUUUGCAAGAUCUUUUUUGAAAAAGAAAAGGUAUUAAGAAUUCCAGGACAGCAUUAGGAAUGUAUUAAACCAGAAUAAGGAACAGCGGAGCUUCCCCCUAAGACCCUGGUGUGUUUCUGCAUCAGGAAACCUUCUCUCCUGCAAUGUGUCGUUUAAGAUUGAACAACAUGGUGCCUUUGCCAGAAGUUAACAGGAAACCCAAAAGGAGAUGAGCCAGACUGGUUAGUUCAGAAGAGAAUCGUUGGGGAAGACAAUGGGAGCUGCUGUUUGAAUGUGGCCCUGAGAUUAUUUGUGCUUUUCAAUCCCAUGUUACCAAAACACAUUUCAAGCUGGCCUAUAAAUCACACCUUGUGCAUAAUUUUAAGUGGAUAAAUAUUUGUCGCCCAAG
ensembl:lncRNA novel transcript